AUACUUUCGAAAGAAAAAAAAUCUGUUCUUAUCAGUUUAAUAUCUGAUACGUCCCCUACCCGGGGACCAUAUAUUAAAUGGAUUUCUGGAACAGGGAGAUGGAAUAGGGGCUUGCUCCGUCCACUCCACGCAUCGACCCGGUAUUGCAGUAUCUCCAGGAACGGUGCACCCCCU
rnacentral:snRNA from 1 species